AAUAAAAACAUACAAUAAAAUAGAAGGAAACUAAUAAGAUGAUAGU
rnacentral:guide_RNA from 1 species